AAAGGAAUGGUUGCAGUGAUGUAGUUUUUGUUUUUAUUUAUAUCACAGUGGCUGUUCCUUAU
rnacentral:pre_miRNA from 1 species